GCCUUGCUAGCUCAAUCGGUAGAGCGUGAGACUCUUAUCAUGUAGGAGCAAAACAUCUCAAGGUUGCGGGUUCGACCCCCGCGUGAGGCU